GGCGGCGGCUACACAUGCAGUCGAGCGGAUGAAGGAGCUUGCUCCUGGAUUCAGCGGCGGACGGGUGAGUAAUGCCUAGGAAUCUGCCUGGUAGUGGGGGACAACGUUUCGAAAGGAACGCUAAUACCGCAUACGUCCUACGGGAGAAAGCAGGGGACCUUCGGGCCUUGCGCUAUCAGAUGAGCCUAGGUCGGAUUAGCUAGUUGGUGAGGUAAUGGCUCACCAAGGCGACGAUCCGUAACUGGUCUGAGAGGAUGAUCAG
rnacentral:rRNA from 1 species